AACGAACGCUGGCGGCAUGCCUAACACAUGCAAGUCGAACGAGACCUUCGGGUCUAGUGGCGCACGGGUGCGUAACGCGUGGGAACCUGCCCUUAGGUUCGGAAUAACUCCCCGAAAGGGGUGCUAAUACCGGAUAAUGUCUUCGGACCAAAGAUUUAUCGCCUUUGGAUGGGCCCGCGUUGGAUUAGCUAGUUGGUAGGGUAAAAGCCUACCAAGGCGACGAUCCCUAGCUGGUCUGAGAGGAUGAUCAGCCACACUGGGACUGAGACACGGCCCAGACUCCUACGGGAGGCAGCAGUGGGGAAUAUUGGACAAUGGGCGAAAGCCUGAUCCAGCCAUGCCGCGUGAGUGAUGAAGGCCUUAGGGUUGUAAAGCUCUUUUGCCCGGGAUGAUAAUGACAGUACCGGAAGAAUAAGCUCCGGCUAACUCCGUG
rnacentral:rRNA from 1 species